rnacentral:rRNA from 1 species
GACAGAGGGUGCAAACGUUGUUCGGAAUUACUGGGCGUAAAGCGCGUGUAGGCGGCCCUGUAAGUCGGGUGUGAAAUCCCACGGCUCAACCGUGGAAGUGCACUCGAAACUACAGGGCUAGAGUCCUGGAGAGGAAGGUGGAAUGCUUGGUGUAGAGGUGAAAUUCGUAGAUAUCAAGCGGAACACCGGUGGCGAAGGCGGCGACCUGGGCCAAUAUUGACGCUGAGGUGCGAAAGCGUGGGGAGCAAACAGG